UCUGAAAUCUUGUGGGAUUCAUAGGUGCAUCCAUGACAAUACUCUUGCCUACAUGUUGAUGAAGUCACACUAUUGGGGGAACUGCUUCUCUUCUCUCUUCGUAGUUGGUCACAAGUGCGUUACAGACUAGACCAUCAGAAAGUAGUUGGAUUCAAUAUUCAACAAUCCAUAAACACAAAUUCAGUCUCAAGAGGGUCAAAAUGGGUCUCAUUUUGGGUGAGCUGGUGGAUUGAAGUGUACUCAAGGACAACCAGACAGGAAGCAGUGGCGAAUGCAGCAGCUGUUUGUCCAUUCAAUUUGGAAGCAUAUGCUAAUUGAAUCAAAGGAAGGUCAGCAUCACGCCCUGCUCCGCGUGCUGCUCCAGUGAGAAACCCACCACAGCCAGAGCGCCAGGCUCCUCCUCCAGUUCCUGCUCAGAGCGGUGGUGGCUCCAUCCUUGGAGGAAUUGGGACCACAAUUGCUCAAGUAUGGCUGAGAAGGCGGUGUGGGAUAAGGAAAAUGUGAAGCACUUCUGUGACAUAUGCAUGCAUGAGGUUAAUGCUGGGCAUAGGCCAUUAGGUCAUUUGAACAAAGUCGGAUGGAAGAAUGUUGCAGAAAAGUUUGAACACAUAACUGGUCGGAAACUAGAACAUUUGCAACUCAAGAAUAAAUGGGAUAGUCUGAAAAGAAGUUAUACUGUUUUUAUGGAGUUAAAAAAUGCUGCAACUGGACUUGGUUGGAAUGAUGACAAGCAGACUGUAGAUUGUUCAAAUGAAUGGUGGAACGAGCAUCUUGCGAGAUGUCACGAUCCAAGUAAUGGAAGGAAAUGCAAACAUGUUCAGUUUAGAAAACGUGGUCCGGACAACUUGGAGGUGAUGCACAUCAUGUUUGGAAGCGCACAUGUUACGGGGGCAUCUGCUUCCAUACCGGGAGAUUUGUCUGAUAGUUGCAGUGAUGAUGAAGUGCAUGAGCUUGAGAGAAGCCCCUCAAAUAUCCACAUGUCCAGUAUGCUCCAACAUAAAGGCAAGAAGCGUAAAGGCCCUUCUUCUACGUGUGCGGAUGACAAGGAAGAGAAAAGUCCAUUCUUACGUCUCUACAGGCAAACCUGCAGCAAGAUCGAAGAUGGAGUGAACAAGAUCACCAGUAGUAUAGAAGCUUCAUCGGCCCCUUAUGUGACCAGCAACAUUUCUACCCUUGCGGAGGCCUUGAGGAUGGUGAAAGAAUGUGGAGUACAGGAGAAAACUGGCCUCAUGCAUACUGCUGCAAUGGCGAUAAUGAAACCUGAUUUUAGGGAGCUCCUCGGAUUGCUGGACACAAAUGAAGGAAGACUUGAUUUGCUGCAAAGGGAGCAUGAGAUGAAGAAGUUGCCUUAAUCAUUAUGUUUGAGUCCUUGUUUGUUCGGACCAUUAUAUUGUUGUUCUUGUGCUUGCAAACCUUUAUGUUUGAGUUCUUGUUUGUUCGGACCCGUAUUUGUAUGAAACCUUUAUG